rnacentral:lncRNA from 1 species
AAAGUUUAAUACAUAAACCAGUUUUCAAAAAUAAUUGUAAUGUUCCUAUGGCCUUCACUUCUAAUUCCCGAUCAUCCCCAACUUUAAGUGUUCUUUGGUUUCUUCCCAGCUUCCGGAUUGUAAGGAAUCCCUGAAGUGAAUUGGUAACAUGAACCAUAGAACCAGAAUCAAACCACCAAGAAUUAGCAGGAACAUUUAAAUUAAAGGACUCAAGUAUCAUGAAAAAAACGUUACCUUUCUUAGCCAGCCACUCCUUGAAGGUUUGCCUAAGGAGUUCUUAG